UACGGGGGGUGCGAGCGUUGUCCGGAAUCACUGGGCGUAAAGGGCGCGUAGGUGGUCUUAUAAGGGUGUGGUGAAAGCCCGGGGCUCAACCCCGGGUCGGCCGUGCCGACUGUAAGACUAGAGUGCUGUAGGGGCAGGCGGAAUUCCGGGUGUAGCGGUGAAAUGCGUAGAUAUCUGGAGGAACACCGGUGGCGAAGGCGGCAUCCUGGACCGGUAUUGACGCUGAGGCGCGAAAGCUAGGGGAGCAAACGGG
rnacentral:rRNA from 1 species